GGGCCUACUUGGGUGGCACAUGUACUAAAAUUGAACUGAUACAGAGAAGCUUGCCAUGGCCUCUGUGCAAGGAUGACAUGCAAAUUCAUGAAGCAUUCUAUAUUUUA
ensembl:snRNA U6 U6 spliceosomal RNA